GUGUGUUAGUGUGUGAGUAUACAGUGUGUGUGUUAGUGUGUGAGUAUACAGUGUGUGUGUUAGUGUGUGAGUAUACAGUGUGUGUGAGUAUACAGUGUGUGUGUUAGUGUGUGAGUAUACAGUGUGUGUGUUAGUGUGUGAGUAUACAGUGUGUGUGUUAGUGGGUGAGUAUACAGUGUGUGUGUUAGUGGGUGAGUAUAAGUGUGUGUGUUAGUGGGUGAGUAUACAGUGUGUGUGUUAGUGGGUGAGUAUACAGUGUGUGUGUUAGUGUGUGAUAUAACAGUGUGUGUGUUAGUGUGUGAGUAUACAGUGUGUGUUAGUGUGUGAGUAUACAGUGUGUGUGUUAGUGUGUGAGUAUACAGUGUGUGUUAGUGGUGAGUAUACAGUGUGUGUGAGUGUGUGAGUAUACAGUGUGUGUGUUAGUGGGUGAGUAUACAGUGUGUGUGUUAGUGGGUGAGUAUACAGUGUGUGUGAGUGUGUGAGUAUACAGUGUGUGUGUGAGUGUGUGAGUAUACAGUGUGUGUUAGUGGGUGAGUAUACAGUGUGUGUGUUAGUGUGUGAGUAUACAGUAUGUGUGUGUUAGUUAGUAUACAGUGUGUGUGUUAGUGGGUGAGUAUACAGUGUGUGUGUUAGUGGGUGAGUAUACAGUGUGUGUGUGUGUUAGUGUGUGAGUAUACAGUGUGUGUGUUAGUGGGUGAGUAUACAGUGUGUGUGUGAGUGUGUGAGUAUACAGUGUGUGUGUUAGUGGGUGAGUAUACAGUGUGUGUGUUAGUGGGUGAGUAUACAGUGUGUGUGAGUGUGUGAGUAUACAUGUUGUGUUAGUGGGUGAGUAUACAGUGUGUGUGUUAGUGUGUGAGUAUACAGUGUGUGUGUUAAUGUGUG
ensembl:lncRNA